rnacentral:rRNA from 1 species
AUUGAACGCUGGCGGCAGGCCUAACACAUGCAAGUCGAGCGGAUGAAGGGAGCUUGCUCCUGGAUUCAGCGGCGGACGGGUGAGUAAUGCCUAGGAAUCUGCCUGGUAGUGGGGGAUAACGUCCGGAAACGGGCGCUAAUACCGCAUACGUCCUGAGGGAGAAAGUGGGGGAUCUUCGGACCUCACGCUAUCAGAUGAGCCUAGGUCGGAUUAGCUAGUUGGUGGGGUAAAGGCCUACCAAGGCGACGAUCCGUAACUGGUCUGAGAGGAUGAUCAGUCACACUGGAACUGAGACACGGUCCAGACUCCUACGGGAGGCAGCAGUGGGGAAUAUUGGAGUAUGGGCGAAAGCCUGAUCCAGCCAUGCCGCGUGUGUGAAGAAGGUCUUCGGAUUGUAAAGCACUUUAAGUUGGGAGGAAGGGCAGUAAGUUAAUACCUUGCUGUUUUGACGUUACCAACAGAAUAAGCACCGGCUAACUUCGUG